rnacentral:rRNA from 1 species
UACGGAGGGUGCGAGCGUUGUCCGGAAUCACUGGGCGUAAAGGGCGCGUAGGUGGCUGCUUAAGCGUGUGGUGAAAUCCCGGGGCUCAACUCCGGAUAUGCCGCGAAUACUGGCGGACUAGAGACCGGUAGAGGCAAGUGGAAUUCCAGGUGUAGCGGUGGAAUGCGUAGAUAUCUGGAAGAACACCGGUGGCGAAGGCGGCUUGCUGGGCCGGUUCUGACACUCAGCCGCGAAAGCGUGGGGAGCAAACAGG